AUAAGUAAACUUUUGAGAUUAUUUACCACGAACCCAUUUCGAACUCGAAAGGUAUUUAUAAUAAUCUCAACGUAGAUACCUAAAAAGGGACAUACGUUUAUUAUUUUU
rnacentral:rRNA from 2 species